AUUGAACGCUGGCGGCAUGCUUUACACAUGCAAGUCGAACGGUAACAGGCCUUCGGGUGCUGACGAGUGGCGAACGGGUGAGUAAUGCAUCGUAACGUGCCCAGCGGUUGGGGAUAACGCAGCGAAAGCUGUGCUAAUACCUCAUGUGAUCUGAGUUUGAAAGCUGGGGACCAGGCAGCACUGUUUGGCCUCGCGCCUUUGUAGCGGCCGAUGUCCGAUUAGGUAGUUGGUGGGGUAAAGGCCUACCAAGCCGACGAUCUGUAGCUGGUCUGAGAGGACGAACAGGCACACUGGGAGUGAGAAACGGCACAGACUCCGACGGGAGGCAGCAGUGGGGAAUUUUGGACAAUGGGCGCAAGCGUGAUCCAGCAAUGCCGCGUGCGGGAAGAAGGCCUUAGGGUGGUAAAACGAUGUUGUACGGAACGAAAAGGCUCUGGCUAAUACCUGGGGCUGAUGACGGUACCGUAAGAAGAAGCACCGGCUAACUACGUG
rnacentral:rRNA from 1 species